GGGCAAUUAGCUCAGUUGGUUAGAGCGCGUCGCUUACAUCGACGAGGCCGUAGGUCCGAGUCCUACAUUGCCCACCC
rnacentral:tRNA from 1 species